AACAGCCAGUAACAUUAACUUUUGACUCUGUCAAGUACAUCCCUCUAUAAAGAGCCUGUGCCGUGUGGCAAAUUAUUCAAGCAGUUUGCUGCCCAGAUGGUGGUAUUAAAAACUCCUCUGUUCUGCAGCAUUCCCAGCAGCAGAUGGAUCAAUUUCCUCUCUUGGGCAAAUAAGAGUAUGAUUUUUUCUCUCUCUCUCUCUCUCUCGUGAGCUUCACAAACCUUCCCGAAGAUAUUAACAGACUCUGGGUGCUGUUGUUGUGAAACCACAGUUCAACGAGUGGCUGCUGAAUCAACACCUCACCAUGAUCAAAGGCAAAGAGCAGAACUUUCAACUUUUUUGCUCCCUAGUGAUCGGGCUUAUUUCCUACUCUACACUUCAAGCAGUGGCUACGGGACACUGUCACACUCUGCAGUCGCCAAACCAUCCCCUGCCCCUACUGCCACUGACCAGACCCGGAACAUUCUCUCUGCCAAAGCUGUCUCAUCGCCACCGAGUCUGCAGCCACCACCAUAGCCAGGAGACUGUCCCAAUUCUCGAGGACCAGGACCCAUCUCAACCUCCAGAACCAACUGACCAUGCAAAUUAACUCCCGGGAACCCAAGGGAUCAUUCAAUCCGCUGCCACCGAAAUAUCAGAUGUAAAGAGUGGACCCCAAAUCACCGAUACUGGGACAGUUGCUCAAGCUGCGAUCGCCAUGGCCGCAGAGGAUGGACCGGAUUCACCACACAACAGCUGCCCCGCAAUGUCUCUCCAUUGCAAUGAAUUUGAUUGUUAAAGUUAAGAGAAGAUAAAGAAAAUAAGAAAAAUUAUAUGGUUGAUCAAGUGAGAUGGAUCAGAUGGGCCGGGAGCCUGAACACCUCCUAACUUGCCACCUUCACCAUCUUGAAUUGCCAUUGAUAUUAACAAGUGACUGGUAGCCCAGUAGCCACUUCCUCCAGCGCUGAUGAUACUAUAAGAAACACCCGGUGAAGUGGUUAUUCUUCCAGUUUAUCUAGCAGCAUUUAUUUCUGGUCCACUGAUGUGUCGCAGACUCAAUGAGGAUUGACAGAAGUCAAUAAUCAACCUGAACAUAUGCAAUGCAUUUCUGAUGUGAGUGAGGGGGCUCUGGAUUACUGUGUCUUUCAGUCGAAUUUGAUGUCAGAUCUCCACAAGUGCAGAUUAAAAACUCAGAAUAAAGCAAAGACAUUGCACAUUUUUUUUUCUGGUUGGUUUUGCUCUUUUCUUUUAUCUCCUUUAUUUAUUAGUUUUCUUUUCUUUUGGGCCUC